rnacentral:lncRNA from 1 species
AUGCAAGAACUGGUGAAAAUGAUGGAGAUGGUGAACCACGGGAGAGUUUUCUUCAAUUGGUUGUUCUGUGUCGUAGAGGUGAAGUAGCAGCAGCUCAAAGACAUUCAUUUGAUUUUUGUAAGUAAGAUGAGUUGGAAAUCAUGUUGACAAGGCUUUGGGUUUAUAAGUAAAUUGCAAUUGUUCUUGACAGUAAGCGAAGUCGAGUUGAGGGAGAAGAAGAAUCGGUGCUUCGACGAGUUUUCCUGAAACUGGAAACGUUAAGAUAAUUUCCAGAUCAUAAACGCAAAUACUUGGUAGAGCUAUGAUCAAAACAUGAUUGUUAAUUAGAGUGUGGUGUUUUGUACAUGAUCAAGUCUUGAGACUCGAACCGAUUACGUUGUGAACUUGGUUUUGGUGCCGAAAUAGAAUGAUCACUGUGUAUCGUUGGAGGCACACUGUGGAUUGAACCACUUCUGUACGCGUGGCCACUGAUGCCAGUACUGGCUUC